GUGCUCCAAACUCAUGCAAUCCUCAAAGUCAAAACAAUUCUUGUUAAUCAUUGUCAUGCAAAAUAAUACUAUAUAAACGAUUGUCUUUACACAGUCCGAUAAGUAAACAUAGUAUACAGUUAUUAUCAUCAUGCCUUGAAUGAUGUGACAAGAUACAUCCAACGGGCGACAAUGAAUUUAAGUUUUCGUUCAUUUUAAUUGAU
rnacentral:lncRNA from 1 species